GUGUCAGCAGCCGCGGUAAGACGGAGGAUGCAAGUGUUAUCCGGAAUCACUGGGCGUAAAGCGUCUGUAGGUGGUUUAAAAAGUCUACUGUUAAAAAUUGAAGCUUAACUUCAAAGAUGCCGUAGAAACUUUUAAACUCGAGGAUGGUAGGGGUAGAGGGAAUUUCCAGUGGAGCGGUGAAAUGCGUAGAUCUUGGAAAGACCACCAAUGGCGAAGGCACUCUACUGGGCCAUUACUGACACUAAGAGACGAAAGCUAGGGGAGCAAAUGGGAUUAGAAACCCCAGUAGUCC
rnacentral:rRNA from 1 species